GUCGGGUUCGGGAUGAACCGGUUGACCCGCCCGCCGAUGAUGAUGUGCGUCCGCCUGCCCUCGGUGACGACCCGCACGCCCCGGUUCCUGAACCGGGG
rnacentral:sRNA from 1 species